ACGAACGCUGGCGGCGUGCUUAACACAUGCACGUCGAACGGAAAGGCCCUGCUUUUGUGGGGUGCUCGAGUGGCGAACGGGUGAGUAACACGUGAGUAACCUGCCCUUGACUUUGGGAUAACUUCAGGAAACUGGGGCUAAUACCGGAUAGGAGCUCCUGCUGCAUGGUGGGGGUUGGAAAGUUUCGGCGGUUGGGGAUGGACUCGCGGCUUAUCAGCUUGUUGGUGGGGUAGUGGCCUACCAAGGCUUUGACGGGUAGCCGGCCUGAGAGGGUGGCCGGCCACAUUGGGACUGAGAGACGGCCCAGACUCCUACGGGAGGCAGCAGUGGGGAAUAUUGCACAAUGGGCGGAAGCCUGAUGCAGCAACGCCGCGUGCGGGAUGACGGCCUUCGGGUUGUAAACCGCUUUCGCCUGUGACGAAGCGUGAGUGACGGUAAUGGGUAAAGAAGCACCGGCUAACUACGUG
rnacentral:rRNA from 1 species